GACGAACGCUGGCGGCGUGCUUAACACAUGCAAGUCGAGCGGUAAGGCCCUUUCGGGGGUACACGAGCGGCGAACGGGUGAGUAACACGUGGGUGACCUGCCCUCAGCUCUGGGAUAAGCCUGGGAAACCCGGGUCUAAUACCGGAUAUGACUCCAUGACGCAUGUUGUGGGGUGGAAAGCCUUGUGCGGCUGAGGAUGGGCCCGCGGCCUAUCAGCUUGUUGGUGGGGUGAUGGCCUACCAAGGCGACGACGGGUAGCCGGCCUGAGAGGGCGACCGGCCACACUGGGACUGAGACACGGCCCAGACUCCUACGGGAGGCAGCAGUGGGGAAUCUUGCGCAAUGGGCGAAAGCCUGACGCAGCGACGCCGCGUGAGGGAUGACGGCCU
rnacentral:rRNA from 1 species